UUCUCGUUAUUCUUCGUUAGAUUCUCUCUACAUAUUGUAUUGAUUCUGCAAUAAUUAUUAGAAUAUUGUAAAACACGAUUUUAUAAUUUUUAUUUGUAAAUUUUACAGGUUAAUAUGUGAUAAUUGCUUGAAGGUUUAAUGAUAUUUAGUUUUUCCUAUAAUAUAAUUGAGUAAUUAGUCUAAACAUGUUCUAGUCUUACCCUCGAUGAAUGACGAUGAUUUCUUCUCAUAUGUUCUAGUCUUAGCCUUGAUGGAUAUAGUUACUUGAUAACUGUGGAGCCUCUAUGGAUAGAGUUACCCGAUACCUGUUGCUUUGGGAGGUGGCGCAGGUUAAAAGAGGAAAGUAUAAAUUAUCAUAAUUUUUGGCCAGAGCCAAUAUUUGAACCUUAUUGGUUCUGGAUUCUAGUACAUGGCCUCAACCCUCAAGUGCAAGUAACUGAAUUCUGAAUUUAAUUUUUGCGCAUAUUUAGUGAUUCUUUUAACACAGGUACACCGUUUAGAUCAAAGCUACUAUGUUAUGCCGAAUCCACAUGUAUGUACUACAUCUGCUCUGCUGUUUUUAGCAGAUGCUAACUCAGUACAAACACUGGCCUAAUUGGUGAAGCGACAAGGUUUAAAAGAUAAAACUCUCAUUUCCUCAUGAAAAAUGUAAUGACUGCAUGAGAGCACAUUUUUUCAUCAAUCUGAUGUAGGUGAAAAUUCAGAAGCUAUUCAUAUGAAAAAUUGCCAGGUUUUUUUUCUAGUUAUCAAACCUUAACAGUUGGUAAGUCUUUUCUGAAGUGCUAGAUUUCCAGCAAUAGAAAGAAAUAUAAAACGAUUUUUAGUGCUAGUCAAGAUUUUGGAAAAAUAGAAAGUUCAGUGCUCUUUGAAAACUCAACAAAUCAUCAAUGCUUUUCCAAUGCAAUAGAGUAAAUCACGAAGACUCUGUCCAAUCAGCAUCUGGAGUACUAGUUUUAUCAGGUAUUACACACAUCUGUAUCUUAGUUACCAGGCACAGGAUGUAAAAACAAUGUUCAAAUGUAGCAAAGUAAAAUCAAGUAUCAUAGAAGACAUUAUUGUUGGAAUGAAUUUAGUAAAGGAAGCAGUAAGGUGCAACCGAUUCCCAUUUUUGCCAUCUGUGGUUCAAGCAUUUGAAUCUUCGUCUGAUCUUCCGCGAUAUGCUCAUUCAGAUAUCUAUUAGACAGGAGCUUUAAGCCUGCGAACUGUCAUCUGCUGUUUCAGACUUUCUAUCCUUGUCGAGAUUGCCUGCAAAAUUCAUGAGUGGCAAGUGGAAUUUUCUGUGGUGUGGAUAGUGGGAGCAGACUCGGAGAACUUCCCAGUCAUGAUGCGGUUACACCAAGGGUUGACUCUUAGCCCCUUUCCGCUCUGGUUAUGAUGGAUGUACUGACAUGGCAUAUCCAAGAUAGGCUGUCAUGGUGUAUGUUAUUCGUAGAUGACAUAGUACUGAUUGAUGAGACUCACAGUGGAGUUAAAUGCUAGGCUGGAGGUUCAAAGACAAACUCUGAAGUCUAAAGGGUUCAGGCUGAGCAUGACCAAGACUGAAUGCUUGGAAUGUAAGUUCAGUGAUGCUACACAUGAAAUCGGUGUGGAAGUGAGGCUUGACACUCAUGUCAUCCCCAAGAGAAGAUGUUUCAAGUGUAUGGGGUCUUUAAUUCAAGCUAGUGUAGAGAUCAAUGAUGACAUCACACAUUGUAUUGGUGUGGGAUGGGCGAAAUAAGAUGGCCUCCGGUGUCUUAUGUGUUAAAAAGGUACUGCCAAGACUUAAAAUUAACUGAGGAUGAUCCUACUGAAACUAAGCUUGGUAUGCUAUUCAUUUCCUCUUCAAGACAAGCUGAAGAUCCCUCCUGUCCAGAAACCUCUACUCCAACUUGUAGCCUUUGGUUAUCUCGAGCUAAGAGACGCGGAUUCAUCUCAGCAGGUGAGAGUUGAAGUUCAUACAGGUGGCUCCGUGACUGAUAAUUGGAUAAAUUUCUUAUUUGGAACAUUUAUUGAGCAACAGGCAUUAUCUUCUUCCAUUGGAGAUAGAGACGUCGAGCGUUCUGUAGUAGUAGUUGGUGAUACGAGCAGCAUAGCUCCAAGACCAAUCUCAUUAGGAGGAAUGUAUUUGUUCCUUGCAUAAAUUAGAGUAGCAUCUUCACCACCGUCUGGAUUCCAGAGAGGAUCUUUGUCUGCUUCUCCCAACAAAAGGUGAGAGUUGAAGUCCAUACAGGUGGCUCCGUGAUUGAUAAUUGGAUGAAUUUCUUAUUUGAUAUCCUAUUAUGGUCUUAGCAACCGUUUUAUUGUUUAAUCGACUUGGUUAUGAAUGUUUCCUUUCUUAGAAUUAGGGGAAAAAACAAGGAAGAAAUUGUACAAGCUAGCCAAGGCGAUGGAGAGGAGGGCACGUGACCUGGACCAAGUGACGUGCAUCAAGGACGAGGUCGACGAAGUAUUGGUUUAGGAAACACUCAUUAGACGAAGUUGAUAGUCAUACUUCUAUUUACUCUUGAAUGAACCGGAGGACAUUCUGGUGGGAGAUAUAGUGCACUCCGAGAGGUUUCACGAUUUUGGGUAUUGUAGGUGUAUAAAGGUUGAAAAGGUUAAGGAUGCUAUUCGUAGGAUUCACAAGGAAGAGCGAACGGUACUGAUGAGAUUCCGAUGGAAUUUUGGAAGACGGUGGGUAGGACAUGUAUGGAGUCUUUGGCUAGGUUGUUUAAUAUUGUUUUUAAGACCGUGAAAAAGGCAAAAGAAUGGAUGUGAAGUACAAUGAUCCAUUUGUACAAGAACAAAGGUGACAUUUCUUAAUUGCAACAACUAUAGGGGCAUCAAGAUCCUAAGCUACAUUAUGAAAGUUUGGGAGAUGGUGGUAAAGAUGAAGGUUAGGAGGGGUAUGUUUAUUUUCGAGAAUCAAUAUAGAUUCAUGUAAGGGCGCUUGACUACAAAAGUCAUUCAUCUUUUAAAGAGAUUGGUGGAGCUGUAUAGAGAGCGGAAAAGGACUUGCACUUGGUGUUCAUUUACCUAGAAAAUGCUUACGACAAAGUCCCAAAAGAGGUCUUAUGGAGAUGCUUGGAGGCUAGAAUCUUACCUGUGUUGUAUGAUCAAGUAGAUUUAUGUUGGAACUAAGAUAAGGAUAAGGACAUAGAGAGGAGACUGAGAGAACUUUCCAAUUGUGAUGGGGUUGCACGAGGGAUUAACUUUUAGCUUGUUUUUAUUUGCUUUGGUGAUUGAUGAAUUGACAUGGUACUAAGGUGAGGUGCCAUGGUGUAUGUUAUAUGUGGAUGACAUAAUUCUAAUUGACGAGACUCACGUAGGAGUUAACGCUGAGCUAUAGGUUUGGAGACAAACUGCAGAGUUUAAAGGGUUCAGGUUGAGCAUGAUCAAGACAUAAUACUUUGAGUCCAAGUUUAUUGACGUAACCAUGAGACUCACAUGGAAGUGAGGCUUGAUACCAGGACAUCCAAAAGAGAGGAAGUACCAAGUAUCUUGGGUCUAUUAUCUAAAGAUACAUGAAUGAUAUCACACAUCGUAUUGUUGCAAAGUGGAUGAAAUAGAGGUUCGCUUUUGAAGUUUUGUGUGAUUAAGAGAAGGUGCCACCAAAACUUAAAGGCAUGUUCUAUAGAGUUUGACCAACUUUGUUGUAUGGGGCGGAAUGUUCGACAAGGUGGAGAUAGCCUCUAUCGCUUUUCUUCCCCGAAGCCAGGCAUAGAAGAAAAAAGUGUGCGUUUAUACUACUGAAGCGAGAAGAGAGAAAGGAACGAAAGGCGCGUAUUAGCGAGUUCGACUGCUGCGACGGGUUUUAUAUUAAAAUUUUGUUAAACAUACUCAUGCGACUUCUCUUCCUAAAUAUCUGCUUAGAGUUCGACUGCUAGGAGCCUGCGAUUUCUCUUCACGAUGCAGGUUCUCUCAAUCAAAUAAUUGACAUUGGCUACGAUUUGGAUGGUCUCCCCGGCUCAAUGGAAAGACAACCCCUUUCUAUACGUCAUAAAAUCAUGCCUUUCCUCCAAAUACCAUUUGCGCAAGUCAAACUCAUGAUAGGCGAGCAAAAUCACAUGCAUAUGGUUUAGCGGUUUGCUGUGCUCUGUGUUCUUAUUCUUCUCCAACACCCUAUGUGUCAUGCUUCUUUAGCUUAGUAGGACUUUAAACACGCUAUUGUGUGAAAGAAACACACAUGUUCUGGCUUAGCCUCUGUCUCUUUGUAAUGAUUUAACAAAGUGACCAUACCUAUUAGUCUUGAACCAUCAAUUAAGCAAUUUCUCUAGUAUUUAAUAAGAAAGGGACUUGGAUAUUUGUUGUUUAAUUUUAUAUCGAGAAGUAUUUGAUUUUCAUCUUGA